rnacentral:tRNA from 1 species
AGAGCUGUAGCUCAGUUGGUAGAGGGUUUGCCUAGUGUGCAUGAGGCUCUGGGUUCAAUCCUCAGCAGCAUGU